GGUGAAUGCUGGCGGCGUGGAUGAGGCAUGCAAGUCGAAUGAAUUUAGAUUCUUGGCAGACGAGGUAGGAACACGUAGGUACGUACCCCAGAGUCAGGGAUAAUCCGUCGAAAGGCGGGAUAAUACUUGAUGGUCUCGAAAGAGUAAAGAUUUAUCGCUUUGGGAACGGCCUGCGGUCUAUCAGCUUGUUGGUAAGGUAA
rnacentral:rRNA from 1 species